rnacentral:misc_RNA from 1 species
GAUGAAGAACGCAGCGAAAUGCGAUAAGUAAUGUGAAUUGCAGAAUUCAGUGAAUCAUCGAAUCUUUGAACGCACAUUGCGCCCCCUGGCAUUCCGGGGGGCAUGCCUGUUCGAGCGUCAUUACAACCCUCAAGCUCUGCUUGGUAUUGGGCUCUGCCGGUCCCGGCAGGCCUUAAAAUCAGUGGCGGCGCCACUCGGCUUCAAGCGUAGUAAUUCUUCUCGCUUCGGAGACCUGGGUGCGUGCUAGCCAGCAACCCCCAACUUUCUCAGGUUGACCUCGGAUCAGGUAGGGAUACCCGCUGAACUUAAGCAUAUCAAUAAGCGGAGGA